rnacentral:rRNA from 1 species
UUGGAGGGCAAGUCUGGUGCCAGCAGCCGCGGUAAUUCCAGCUCCAAUAGCGUAUAUUAAAGUUGUUGUGGUUAAAAAGCUCGUAGUUGAGUCUUGGGCCUGGCUGGCCGGUCCGCCUCACCGCGUGUACUGGUCCGGCCGGGCCUUUCCCUCUGUGGAACCCCAUGCCCUUCACUGGGUGUGGCGGGGAAACAGGACUUUCACUGUGAAAAAAUUAGAGUGCUCCAGGCAGGCCUAUGCUCGAAUACAUUAGCAUGGAAUAAUAGAAUAGGACGUGUGGUUCUAUUUUGUUGGUUUCUAGGACCGCCGUAAUGAUUAAUAGGGACAGUCGGGGGCAUCAGUAUUCAAUUGUCAGAGGUGAAAUUCUUGGAUUUAUUGAAGACUAACUACUGCGAAAGCAUUUGCCAAGGAUGUUUUCAUUAAUCAGGAACGAAAGUUAGGGGAUCGAAGACGAUCAGAUACCGUCGUAGUCUUAACCAUAAGCUAUGCCGACUAGGGAUCGGACGGUGUUAUUUUUUGACCCGUUCGGCGCCUUACGGGAAAC